UCUGUGGAAGGCCGGCUGGCCGAGGCGGUGCCUGGUUGCCUGGUUAGUUAGUUGUUACCUUGCCGGCUCGCGAGGCAGCGGCAGCGGCGGCGGCGGUGGCGGCGGCGGCGGCGUGAGGACCGGCACACCUGCUAACAUCGUGGCGCGGGCAACCAUGCGCAGUUAACAACGGGGACCUGCAGACGGUGCGCUCCUGCGCGUUCAUACUGCCCGAUCAGCCGUGCACGACGACGGACCAGUCCUCGUACAUCCACGAGGAGUACUGCAUCACCUGCGAGACUGACCUCU
rnacentral:misc_RNA from 1 species